GACGAACGCUGGCGGCGUGCUUAACACAUGCAAGUCGAACGAAGUGGCGGACGGGUGAGUAACGCGUAAUCAACCUGCCCUUCAGAGGGGGACAACAGUUGGAAACGACUGCUAAUACCGCAUACUGAAGGAGGGGAUUGCGUCUGAUGAGCUAGUUGGAGGGGUAACGGCCCACCAAGGCGGUGACGGGGAGCCGGUGUGAGAGGGGGACCGGCCACAUUGGGACUGAGAUACGGCCCAGACGCCUACGGGAGGCAGCAGUGGGGGAUAUUGCACAAUGGGCGAAAGCCUGAUGCAGCGACGCCGCGUGGGGGUUGAAGGCUUUCGGGUUGUAAACCUCGUUCGCUAUCGAACGGGUAGGUGGAGAAGAAGCGCCGGCUAACUACGUGCCAGCAGCCGCGGUAAUUC
rnacentral:rRNA from 1 species